UACCGACGGCCCGAGUGGUAGCCACUCUUAUUGGGUCUAAAGCGUCCGUAGCCGGCUUGGCAAGUCCCCUGGGAAAUCUGGCGGCUUAACCGUCAGGCGUCCAGAGGAUACUGCCAGGCUUGGGACCGGGAGAGGUGAGAGGUACCUCAGGGGUAGGGGUGAAAUCUUGUGAUCCCUGAGGGACCACCAGUGGCGAAGGCGUCUCACUAGAACGGGUCCGACGGUCAGGGACGAAAGCUGGGGGCACGAACCGG
rnacentral:rRNA from 1 species